UACAGAGGGGGCAAGCGUUGUUCGGAAUUACUGGGCGUAAAGGGCGCGUAGGCGGCCUGUUAAGUCGAACGUGAAAUCCCCGGGCUCAACCCGGGAACUGCGUCCGAUACUGGCAGGCUUGAAUUCGGGAGAGGGAUGCGGAAUUCCAGGUGUAGCGGUGAAAUGCGUAGAUAUCUGGAGGAACACCGGUGGCGAAGGCGGCAUCCUGGGCCGAGAUUGACGCUGAGGCGCGAAAGCCAGGGGAGCAAACGGG
rnacentral:rRNA from 1 species